GACGAACGCUGGCGGCAGGCUUAACACAUGCAAGUCGAGCGCCCCGCGAAGGGGAGCGGCGGACGGGUGAGUAACGCGUGGGAAUCUGCCCUUUGGUGUGGGACAACCACGGGAAACUGUGGCUAAUACCGCAUGAGCCCGAGAGGGGAAAGCCGCAAGGCGCCGAAGGAUGAGCCCGCGUCGGAUUAGCUAGUUGGUAGGGUAACGGCCUACCAAGGCGACGAUCCGUAGCUGGUCUGAGAGGAUGAUCAGCCACACUGGGACUGAGACACGGCCCAGACUCCUACGGGAGGCAGCAGUGGGGAAUAUUGGACAAUGGGGGAAACCCUGAUCCAGCCAUGCCGCGUGAGUGAUGAA
rnacentral:rRNA from 1 species